rnacentral:rRNA from 1 species
AACGAACGCUGGCGGCAUGCCUAACACAUGCAAGUCGAACGAGACCUUCGGGUCUAGUGGCGCACGGGUGCGUAUCGCGUGGGAACCUGCCCUUAGGUUCGGAAUAACUCCCCGAAAGGGGUGCUAAUACCGGAUAAUGUCUUCGGACCAAAGAUUUAUCGCCUUUGGAUGGGCCCGCGUUGGAUUAGCUAGUUGGUAGGGUAAAAGCCUACCAAGGCGACGAUCCAUAGCUGGUCUGAGAGGAUGAUCAGCCACACUGGGACUGAGACACGGCCCAGACUCCUACGGGAGGCAGCAGUGGGGAAUAUUGGACAAUGGGCGAAAGCCUGAUCCAGCAAUGCCGCGUGAGUGAUGAAGGCCUUAGGGUUGUAAAGCUCUUUUACCCGGGAUGAUAAUGACAGUACCGGGAGAAUAAGCGCCGGCUAACUCCGUG